UACAGAGGGUGCAAACGUUGCUCGGAAUCAUUGGGCGUAAAGCGCACGUAGGCGGUCUUGUAAGUCAGGAGUGAAAGCCCUCGGCUUAACCGGGGAAGUGCUUUUGAAACUGCAAGACUUGAAUACUGGAGAGGAUCGCGGAAUUCCCGGUGUAGAGGUGAAAUUCGUAGAUAUCGGAAGGAACACCAGUGGCGAAGGCGACUUCCUGGACCAUUACUGACACUGAGGCGCGAAAGCGUGGGGAGCGAACAGG
rnacentral:rRNA from 1 species